rnacentral:lncRNA from 1 species
CAGGCUAAAAAUACCUCCUGAUUGCACUACUGAAUUAAACCAUCAUGCAUAUUUGUUUCUCCAAAGCACCUUUGACAAACAUGAUCUGGUGAGCAUUUAACUGACAUUUUCCAUGAUAUAUGGUAAAAUAUUCUUCUGUGGGAGAUUUUUCUCUGUUUCCUUAGCAAUGUGAUACUUAUGUUUGUAGCCCAAACUGUUUAAUCUCUCCAAGUGGAACUAGCAAAAAUAUUUUCUACUUUUACUUUCAUUGUUUUCUUGGGGAUGAAAAAGUGUAGUUUCUGAUAGAUUCAUUAUUAUAUUUUUAUAGUUUUGAUGAAAUGUAAAAUUUCUUAUUGUUAAUUCACAUUUUUAGAGGCAAGUCUUUCAUGGACUAUGGGGUUUUUGUGUUUGAGAAUUAUUCUCUCAGAUAUCUAAACAUUAUGUAUACUUCCUUGUGUUUUGUCAGGAUAGAGACUGUGCUUUGUCACCUGAUGAACUUAAGGAUUUAUUCAAAGUUUUCCCUUAUAUACCUUGGGGACCAGAUGUGAAUAACACAGUUUGUACAAAUGAAAAAGGCUGGAUAACCUAUCAGGGAUUCCUUUCCCAGUGGACGUGAGUAUAGAGCUCACUUCUUUCCUCUAGAACCACCACUAGUUUAAAAUUGUGGUAUAUUAUAUUCAUCAUUUUGUAAGCUUGUCAGAGCCUAUGAAAUUCUUCAAUCAUAACUGUUUCUUAAGCAGGAUUUGUAGUGCUGCUGGGAUUAUAAACACUUUUUAGAUUUAUCUGGAAGCGAUUAUUUUCUUUUGGAUGAUGUACUAGGAAACAGUAAUCUAAGUCUUACAUCAAAAAUGAACUUUAUUUUAAUACUUUUUUGUUUGAUUAAGAAAAUUGGGGCUGGGGUUGUGGCUCAGUGAUAGAGCACUUACCUGGCAUAUGUGAGGCACUGGUUUCGAUUCUCAGCACCGCAUAUAAAUAAAUGAAUAAAAAUAAAGAUUCAUCAAAACUAAAAAUAUAUAUAAGUUUUUUUUUAAAAAAAGAAGUUUGGAGGGCUGGGGUUGUGGCUCAGUGGUAGAGCACUUGCCUAGCAUGUGUGAGGCACAUGUGGGUUUGAUCCUCAGCACUGUAUGUAAAUAAAUAAUUAAAAUAAAGGUCCAUCAACA